rnacentral:rRNA from 1 species
AUUGAACGCUGGCGGCAGGCCUAACACAUGCAAGUCGAGCGAGCGGCGGAGGGGUGUGUAGUGUCUGGGUAACUGCCUGAUGGGGGGGGAUAACUACUGGAAACGGUAUCUAACCCCGCAUACUCUCAGAAGUGCCCAGAUGGGAUUCGCUAGUAGGUGGGGUAAUGGCACACCUAGGCGACGACCCCUAGCUGGUCUGAGAGGAUGACCAGCCACACUGGAACUGAGAAACGGUCCAGACGCCUACGGGAGGCAGCAGUGGGGAAUAUUGCACAAUGGGCGCAAGCCUGAUGCAGCCAUGCCGCGUGUAUGAAGAAGGCCUUCGGGUUGUAAAGCACUUUCAGCGAGGAGGCGUUACCCGCAGAAGAAGCACCGGCUAACUCCGUGCCAGCCGCCGCGGUAAUAC